GAAACGUAGGGAGUAGUAUAUAGGGAUUACGCCUUGAUGGAGGAGAUUCCGGUUCGAAUCCGGGCUACUACGUUACAUCUUAGCCCCUUAAUUGGGGCUUUUUUUGUU
rnacentral:sRNA from 19 species